rnacentral:sRNA from 1 species
CAGCUCCAAAAAAAAAAUACAGAUCCCUGGGGACCUAGAGGAGGGCUCCUCUUCCUUGUUUACCAUGCUAGCAUGGGGACUAUGAUUGCCCUCUCCCUAAGUAGGAUGCUGUCCAGUCAAGCAAAAUAACAAGCCCUGCCAGGGCUUACGAGCUUCAGUUCUCUUCUAGGUCUUGGUUUUCCAGUCUGCAAAAUGGGGUUAAUGAUUAGUAAAUCCUUACCUACUUUAUGUCAAUGAGGAGGACUAAUUAAAUGCAUAAUUUUGUGUGUUGGAAUGAGCAGACAGAUUUCAGGUCUUUAGAGGAAAAGCCUUAUUUAUUCACGGCACCAAUGCAUGGAGCAGAAAUUCCAUCUAGCGCGUUUGCUGCCUCUCCACUGCUGGGUGAACCAAGAGCUCCAUUGCUUCUGUGAGAACAUGGGGCUCUGCACAGCUGUCCAACCCCAGCUCAGAGCUCUUGGAGCCUGAGAGGGAGGGGCAUCGUGUGGGCAACGAGCAGUCAUUUUGAGAUCAGUGGAGAAUGAUGGAGUCAGAAGCUGAGGCUCUGGUACAACAGCAGAAGACUGAAGGAUGGAGCAUCCCUUUCACCCCGAGAACAGUGUAUAGAGGUGAGAGUGUGCCUAGGCUUGGGCCACUGGUGUCUGCAUUCUUGUGCUCCUCCUGUCAGCCUGAGAUAAUCUGGAUAAGUCAGAAUCACAGAAAGAAAAAACUCAAGCAAUGGACCCCACGCAAGCUCAACCCAGUGCGGCCAACCCCAGAAACCCUGCAAAGUCAUAAAUGCAAAGAAAGUCUUUUGCUGUAAGGCUCCAAGACUUGGGGGAGUACCUGACAGACAACAUUCUCAUAGAAGAACUAACUGAUGGGUUCCAUGAGGAAGAAUUUGAGGCGCUCACCCGACGUCGUGAGUGAAGGUCACUCUGCUUUGUCAGUGUUGCCCUCUCUCUGGGCACUGGGUCCCCGGCUCAUUUACCUCCUGGUCCCCUGCCUAGCUGUCUGCUGCAGUUGUGCUGUGUCUCUCCAGCUCUAGAACGCCUACUUUGAGGGGC